CACAACGAUACUUACCAGGGAGUAACUGUGAAUCUUCAAGGGGGCAACCAGAAGAUUAGUGCCCUAUUUGGAGUUGAGAAGUUGCAUCCAGAAGCCCUUCAAACCCAGUUGGCAAAUCAUUCUUUAGCGGCCUCACAAAGAACAUUGCUCUGUGGACCAGAUGUGGCUAACAACUCUGCACCCGGUGUAAUAAGGGAAAUCUUUUCGAAUAGCAGUUUUGCUCCACCGGGUAUCCGCACAGCAUGCAACUUGGAGUACGUUCUGGAAACCAGCUUCAGUCAUGCUUGCCCUUAUCUUACGUCUCUGGGCCUCGCCCAAGAGAAUAGGGUGAAAAUGGCCAUCACGAGAGGUGAUCCACACAGAGUCUUUCUAGAAAUCUCCCUGGGAAAUGGCAAGUGGACGGGCCACGGGGAACUGAGUGAUGAGGCUGGAGGGACAGCUGCAGAAUGGAGGGUGACUUUUCUGAAUAAACCUGGCGCUUUGGAGAACCCAGCAUUACCCCAGAAUUUUGUUUCUGGAGGAUCCUUUUUCAGCAAGACUCACCAAGCAAAUUUAACAAUGUUCUUCCAAUGGAAUGGCACAACAGCUGAUAUGAAAUUGGAAAUAGACAAGCAUGUUGUGCGGGGGAUUCUGGACCACUCCCUGCCCUAUCUUCAAGAUCUGGGGCUGCCUCGCAAAAACGUGAUUCUCCUCAUCAUGACGGGUCAUGCUGGUGUGGAAGGACUUCUGGUGCUCCAUGUGGACAGUUGCAAGCUGGAGAUACAAGGAGAAACCCAACC
rnacentral:lncRNA from 1 species